ensembl:snRNA U2 U2 spliceosomal RNA
AUCACCUCUUGGCCUUUUGGCUAAGAUCAAGUGUAGUAUUUGUUCUUGCCAGUUUAAAAUGUCUGUUCAUUCCUUUGCCAAUUUCUGUACCGGGAUUGCCCUUUUUCUUGUUGAUCAGCAGAAAUUCUUU